AAGCAUUUGACCUUGUCAUUCACACCCGUGUAAUAAAAACCAGCGCGAGCAAGACUCCUUUCUGAGACAAGAACACCAGCGGGGAAAGUCGAGGUUUCAGCACAGCGAGAGCAAAAUCCUGCAUUGACACAUCUUAAGGAACAAUUAUGCAUAACAGCACCUUUGUAUGAGCAGACAGGGUAAGCAUGACGCCCUAUAGUACCUUGUGAUGAAAAUGCAAAGCCUUCAUCAGUGUAGAGAGCUUUGGGUCAGCAAGAUGCCAUUUAGAGUCGGGCACUUCACCAGGCAGGUCAGUGCACCAGAAGAACGCUUCAGUGACGUUCAGCCAGCCUAACGGUAAAAGGUCUGACUCACACAGCUAGCUUGCUCCCAUGGUGGAAAGUUAUGCUUGCUAAGUGCUCUACAGAAAAUAAGUAUUCUAACUA